UACGUAGGGGGCUAGCGUUGUCCGGAUUUAUUGGGCGUAAAGAGCGUGUAGGCGGCCAGGUAGGUCUGCUGUGAAAACUCGAGGCUCAACCUCGAGACGUCGGCGGAAACCAUCUGGCUAGAGUCCGGAAGAGGAGAGUGGAAUUCCUGGUGUAGCGGUGAAAUGCGCAGAUAUCAGGAAGAACACCAGUGGCGAAGGCGGCUUUCUGGACGAUAACUGACGCUGAGACGCGAAAGCGUGGGGAGCAAACAGG
rnacentral:rRNA from 1 species